CUCCCAGGAUUACCAGCGUCCCAAUGCAUAAACCAUCUCGAGAGCAAACAAAAGAAAGUGCAAGAAGGAAUUGAGCAAAUGUUUCCUAAGCUUGUGGCUCCCCAACCCUUUUCCUUCCAAGUGAUUUUAAACAAGCAGAUCAAGGCCCAGACUGUGAAGAAAUACCUUGAGAAGAUGAAGCAGAAGAUAAAUUCUAGAGAGAUACGUCGUAACCAAC